AUGCUCACCCCCUCCAGGGGCUCCCGGCUCCUCUCCUGGGUGGUUCUGAGUCUCCUGGGGGCAGGUCACAUGGUCGCUGGCGUUGUCCAGUACCCCAGAUACUUCAUUGCAGGAAAGGGGGGACGAGCCAGUCUGCAAUGCUACCCUGACACUGGGCACCGCAGUGUGUUCUGGUACCAGCAGUCCCAGGGGCAGGGCCUUCAGUUCCUCAUUGAGUACUUUGAGAAGAUGGAGAGAAACAAAGGGGACAUCCCGGACCGGUUCUCAGGCAAACAGUUCUCUAACUACAGCUCAGAGCUGAACCUGACCUCCCUGGAGCAGGGCGACUCGUCCGUUUUCCUGUGUGCCAGCAGUAUCGACCACAGCCCUGCAAACUUCAUGUGGAGCAAGACCAUGGCAUUGCCCCGAUCCAGGGUGAAGAAACUCAGGGAGCUGCCCAGGAGAUUCAGCCAAGAAAACAGGAGCCCCCUGGGAUUGCAGGCACGAUGA